rnacentral:rRNA from 1 species
UUAUAAGAGACAGCAGUAGCCGCGGGAAAACGUAGGCGGCAAGCGUUGUCCCGAAUUAUUGGGCGUAAGGGGCUCGCAGGCGGUUUCUUAAGUCUGAUGUGAAAGCCCCCGGCUCAACCGGGGAGGGUCAUUGGAAACUGGGAAACUUGAGUGCAGAAGAGGAGAGUGGAAUUCCACGUGUAGCGGUGAAAUGCGUAGAGAUGUGGAGGAACACCAGUGGCGAAGGCGACUCUCUGGUCUGUAACUGACGCUGAGGAGCGAAAGCGUGGGGAGCGAGCAGGAUUAGAUACCCCGGUAGUCCCUGUCUCUUAUAC